rnacentral:rRNA from 1 species
UACGGAGGGGGCUAGCGUUGUUCGGAAUUACUGGGCGUAAAGCGCACGUAGGCGGCUUUGUAAGUUAGAGGUGAAAGCCCGGGGCUCAACUCCGGAACUGCCUUUAAGACUGCAUCGCUAGAAUUGUGGAGAGGUAAGUGGAAUUCCGAGCGUAGAGGUGAAAUUCGUAGAUAUUCGGAAGAACACCAGUGGCGAAGGCGACUUACUGGACACAUAUUGACGCUGAGGUGCGAAAGCGUGGGGAGCAAACAGG